AUAUUCAGAAAAUAUUCAAAUAAAUAUUAUAAAUAUUUUAUAAAUAUUAAUACAUUACUUUUAAUCGACCGUAAUAUGUUAAACAUAUCAUGUAAAAAUUGAAAUUAGCGACCCCAAAAACCCUCUAUGUACCAAUUUAUAAAUAAUUUUCAGAAAUACAAGUAGUUAUUGCGCUAAUUUAGAGUUUCACGAAAUUUGAUUAUGAGUUUUAAGCAUAAAAAAAUGCAUUGUUCUUAGAGAGAGGCAAAGAGGGGCAAACUAAAAAUAAAUAGAUUGUUUCAUGGGAAGUUCUUCUACAUUCUCCAAAAAGAGAUUUCUUGGCAUUUUGUGGCAAUUUUUUUAUACACGUCAAAGAGUUUUGGAUUUCAUGCUUAAAAAUGUUUAGGAAUUUUGUUGUUUUUAUAUUUUAACGAGACAAAUUUCGAAUAUUCAUUAUCGAAUUUGUUAGCUUUAAUAAAUAAAAUAAAAUAAUAAAGGGUAAAAGUAAUAAAAAAAAUUAUUGCAAAUAAUAAAAGCCCUUUUAUAUGGCAUUACUUUGAACAGAUAAUAUAAAUAUAUGUUAAUUCUUCACAAAGUCCCCUUGUAAGUCGUUACAUUUUUAAUGUCCAUAUUAAUAACAAAUACUCUUGGUUCUUUUUUUAUUUGAAAUUAAGUUCAAUCUAUAUUUAAAUAACAAAUUGAGAGCGAUUUUGUAACCUUUAAAACUAAAAAAUUAUUUUGCUCUAUGUUCGGGUUUCACUAUGCUUUGUCCCACUGUGCGUCGUAGAAAAAAAAUUUGACAUAGAAUUUUCAAUAGGCUGAAACCUCCUCUUUCGAAUCCCGGCGUCAGAAUUAAUUUACAAAGCGAGUAAAAAAGUUACGGCUCAUUAAAAAAAAAAAAAAAAAAAAAAGGCAAUAUUUUUCGACAUUUUUUUCCGAAAAUUACAUAUUUUGGUUGCGAAAAUGUUUUGCAGGACCACUGCAAUAGAGAUAGAUCGUGGAAUAAAUAUCUGCUUUUUUAAAUCCCAUUGCAAUUUUUUAAACAUUCAACAUGGCGGAUUUUAUGUGGCGGUCGAAAGAUAGAAAAACCGUAUAUAACCGAAAUAUUUUCGAUUUUCUUUUUGUAAAAUUUUCUCAAAAUACUUUAACCCUCCGUCUGUAUACUGACCCCAAAAGGGAACAAGCGAAAUUUUUUACUUGUGUAGCCACAAAAUUGGUGAUAGGCAAAACUUGGUUCUCCUUUCUAAAAAAACUUAGUAAUAAUAGGUACUCAUACCCCAAAAAACGCUUUGAUCCGACACUUGUUAAAACGGCAGCAUGUAAACUUUUCAAGUGUUCCCAAAAAGACCCAGUGUACAGACCGUGUUAGUAUUUCGUGACAGUAAGAAAUAUUUAAUUUUUGUAUUUUUCUUAAUUAUUUUGUUAUUUUUAUGAUGUUUUUACUUGAGUUACAAGCAUAAUCUGCUUUUUUUAGUCGAUAAAGGCAAUUUAAUCACAAUGGCCUCUUGGACACGUCUGAUCGCUGGCUCUUGCAUAUAUUUUAUAGCAUGCUUGAUAAUGCUGACAUAAAUUCGUCAAUUUUAUACUAUUUGCGAGAAGAAAAUUUAUUUUUAUAUCGACGUGACUUUUUGAAAGACUUGGCUUUCAAUUUAGUAAAGCCACAUUUGCAACGUCGUUUAAAAAUAAAAACUUGAGAAGUUAUUUACGUCAUACAAUUCGAGAAAUUUUAAAUAAUGGCGAUAACUCUACUCAGACUUUUAAUCCUAAUAUAAAAAUGAACAAACAAAAAAGAUGUUCUGUAUAUCCGUUCGCAGAUAAUAAAAAAACGUGAUUUUGUAUGGUGUAUGUGGCGAGUCAAUUUGCGACGAUCAUCGCAUGAUUUUCUGUUUAGAUUGCGCACAAAAACAUAGUUAAUUUUUUUUUUAAUUCUGAUCAUUCUACAUUGUAUAUACCUAAUUUUUUAUGAUAAUAUGCUAUAAUUUUUUAUAAGAAUAGAUUUGUGUGAAAAAUUAUCAUUUUAUUAUAUUCUUAUUACCCGAAAAAUACCUUAUUUUUAGUCAUGCAAAUAAUAUUUUUUGCAACCAACACAUAUAGAACAAUUUUUUUCUGAAAAUUAAUACUUUAAUCUAAAAAACCUCAAAAGAAUUUUUUUACGAAAUUCCAUUUCUUGUCAAUCUCGGAAAAUUAAAAUUGUUAUUGUAAAAAAGGUUUUUAAUAAAUGACUAAAAUAACUAUCGAAAUUUAAAAUGUAGUUACUUAAAAGUAAUUAGGAAUUUUUUCAGAUUUUUUGGAUGUAUUUAACAUUUAAAAAAAAAGAGACAGAGACAAAAGGGAUCAGUGUUCAAACCGUGUUAGUGAAAAUAAGUGUACAGACGGAGGGUUAAAAAUACAUAGGCUUGUUAUUUUAUGUGAGUCGAGAUUAUAAUAUAAUAAUAUAUAAUCAAUACAAAUAAUGGCGGUUUCUUUCACGAAAUGCGAAAAAAACACGAUUUAUCGCCAAAUAAUGUAGAAAAACGAUAAGCAAGUGUUCAUUGCUGGUAUGUAUCAUGCUUACGUAUACACCUAUGUACAUCACAUGUGUGUGUGUGUGUGUGUGUGUGUGUGUGUGUGUGUGUGUGUGUGUGUGUGUGUGAUGUACAUAAGUAUAUAUGUAGAUGUAAGCAUGAUGAAAUACCAGCAAUAAACACUUGCUUAUGACUUUUCUACAUUAUUUAGCGAUAAAUCAUGUUUUUUCGCAUUUCUUGAAAGAAACCGUCAUUAUUUGUGUUGAUUAUGUAUUAUUAUGUAUAUAUCUCGGCUCACAUAAAAUAACAAGCUUAUGUAUUUUUAAAAUAUUUCUGCAGAUUUUACAAGAAAAAAAGCAAGAAAAUAAAAAAUAUUUUUGUUAUAUACGGUUUUUCCAUCCUUUGACCGCCAUAUUAAAUCCGCCAUGUUAAAUUUUUAAAAAAUUGCAAUGAGAUUUGAAAAUUUUAUUGCACACAGUAAUUUUUGUGUACAAAAUUACUGUGUCUAAAAUUCCUGUGUCGAAAUGAAUAGUGUCCAUUUGAAACGUGUACAUUAUUUUGUGUCCAUUUGCACCAUGUCCAAUUGUACUGUGUCCAAGUGAAGGCCACUCAACAUAAUCAUUAUCAACGUUUAAAUCAGAAUUGAGCGUUUACACAUAAAAUAAAAAUAA